UUAAAUUGAAGAGUUUGAUCAUGGCUCAGAUUGAACGCUGGCGGCAGGCCUAACACAUGCAAGUCGAACGGUAACAGGAAGAAGCUUGCUUCUUUGCUGACG
rnacentral:rRNA from 1 species